rnacentral:rRNA from 1 species
GACGAACGCUGGCGGCGUGCUUAACACAUGCAAGUCGAACGAAGUGGCGAACGGGUGAGUAACGCGUAAUCAACCUGCCCUUCAGCGGGGGACAACAGGUGGAAACGACUACUAAUACCGCAUACUGAGGGAGGAGCUUGGGUCUGCUUAGCUAGUGGGAGGGGUAACGGCCCACCAAGGCGCUGAUUAGUAGCCGGUCGGAGUGGAUGAACGGGCAACUUGGGACUGAGAAACGGCCCAGACUCCUACGGGAGGGAGCAGUGGGGAAUCUUCCGCAAUGGACGAAAGUCUGACGGAGCAACGCCGCGUGAGUGAUGACGGCCUUCGGGUUGUAAAGCUCUGUUAAUCGGGACGCGGUACCGGAAUAGAAAGCCACGGCUAACUACGUGCCAGCAGCCGCGGUAAUUC